GCCCUUCAGCGCGGGUGGAAGAUGGCGUCCGCUACUCGUGUCAUCCAGCUGCUGCGGAACUGGGCAUCCGGGCGAGACUUACAGGCGAAGCUGCAGCUGCGUUACCAGGAGAUCUCCAAGCGGUGAGCAAGCCCCGCUCGCUGCCCAGACUCCAAUCCUGUCGUUCCUCCAUCAAAAACAAAACCCGUGUUCUUUUAGACGCUGAAACGCUGGGCCUAAAUCCUGCCUCCAGCUCCAUAGCCGGCUCAUGGAAGGAGAGAUGUGCCUUUAAUCUUGCUGGACUAUGUCAGAGAAUGCCGCUCUUGGAAUACCCAGAAUGGGCGUGGAUUCUGAGUAGGAAUUAUCAGUGAGAUUUGCAGUCCUCAGUGUGGUCCUGCUAUUUGGUGUUAACAUCCCCAAGCUACAGAUGAAAAUGUUCGCGUCUAGGAGGGACUAAGUCAUUAGCUUAAAAUCACUCGAAAACCAGAAAGUUACAGUGGGGAUUAGAACCUAGAAAUGUCUGGAUUUGAAACUCUUUUGAUUUUGAGUCCAAAAAUUACUUGACAUUUACAAGACCCGCAUUUACAAAUCUCAGCCCUUGGGGAGAUCAGUGUGAACAAGAAAAGCUCUUCUGGUUUCUUUCAUGGAGCUCAUAUCCUAGGGAGAGGGAGAAACAACAUAGGGAAAUAAACACACCAAGUUAAAACAAAAACAAAACAGUUUUCUAGAAUGCUCUGAAGACAAGACAAAAUGAAUAAGAACUCAGCCUCCUCCCAAGCUCCCCGUGGGCCCCAGCCACAAACUCUCCAAUAAUUACUACUGCACUCGCGAUGGCCGCCGGGAAGCCAUGCCGCCCUCCAUCGUCAUGUCCUCACAGAAGGUGCUGGCAUCGGGCAAGCCAGCAGAGAGCUCAGCUGUGGCAGAGACUGAGAAGAAAGCUGUGACGCCGGCUCCUCCCAUAAAGAGGUGGGAGUUGUCCAAGGAUCAGCCAUACCUGUGACACUGCCCUGGGGCACCUGGCUAAGCCCUCAGGGCCACCAGAAUGCUUCUCACUCCUUGGACUCCUUGGAUUCCCUCUGGGGAGAAUGUGACCUAAUUUAUAAAAAUAUAUAUAUUGUGCUCUCCAGUAUAGCUUCUGAUUUUACUUUUGAAGGGACUCAUGGCUUGAACUUCAUGGUGAAAUCGAUGCUGAGUCUCUUAAUCACAAGCUCCAGGAGCAGGGGAGGGUUGUGGUUCUUGAGCUCAGGGUGACAUGCUGUCACUGGGCACAGAGGUGUCACCAUCCCUUCCUCGAGGUCUUGGCUCUAUGCCUGAGAGUGGUGGAGUAGGUUCCAGAACCUCUGGGUGCUUGAGGGGCACUGACUAUAAAAGGACAUGGGCAAGGUUCCUCUUGUGGCUCAGCAGGUUAAGAACGCUAUUAGUGUCCAUGAGGAUGUAGGUGUGAUCCCUGGCCCCACUUGGUGGGUUAAGGAUUGGGUGUUGCAGUGAGCUGUGGUAUGGGUCAGCAGCUGUAGCUCUGAUUCAACCUCUAGCCUAGGAACUUCCAUAUGCUGGGGUGGGGCCCUGAAAAGCCAAAAAAAAAAAAAUUCCUGAAUCAAGUGUUACGACCCAGCCCCCUUCUGGCAAGUGAAGUUGCAGUGAAAUGAUGGUUGUCAAUGAGGAAUCAGUUCCUUUUUUAUCUUUUCCUUUUUACAGCCACACCUGUGGCAUAUGGAAGUUCUCGGGCUAAGGGUCAGAUCAGAGGUACAGCUGCCGGCCUACACCAUGGUCACCACCAGAUCUGGUCCACAUCUAACACAAGCUGUAGCAACGCUGGAUUUGCAACCCAUUGAGCAAGGCCAGGGAUCAAACUCACAUCCUCACAGACACUAUGUCAGAGCCACAAAGGGGACUCCAAGUGGGUCCUCACCAGACACCACAUCUGCUGGCAUCAUGAUCUUGGACUUCCUAGUUUCCAGGACUGUGAGAAAAUAAAUGUUUGUUGUUUAUAAGCUCUCCCCCACCUAAUCCCCCAAAAGUUUUAUGACACAGGCUUGAAAUUUGACACUGAAGUGCAGAAGGAAAGACAUCUGACAUCUCCUGAGCUCUUCCUGUGUGCCAUGCAUUAUAGCUGUGAUUUCAGCUCUUUCCCAGAGCAAUCCUGUGAAGUCCUAGCCGUUGUUAAACCCUUUUGCCCUGGACAGAAGAACCAAGGUGUGGCAAGACCAAGUACUCUUUCAGGCUCACAGAGCUGGCUCUGAACCCAGCUGCUGGUGAGUCUGCUACACACUGUCAGCUGCUAUGUAAAUCUACAGCUUCUUCAACUUUCCUCCCUUAACCUCAGGUGCCAACCUCACCAAGCAGCCUCCUCUCCUUCCCUUUCCCUCCCCUCCCCUCCUGCAGGCAGUUGUAUUUGCUGCUGUUUCCAUCUGCCUUUGCACCAGGGCACUUUUGCCUCUUACCCAAUUUCUCCUGGAGAACUGGAGAUUAUCAUGAAUACCUGUGUGUGUGUGUGUGUGUGUGUGUGUGUGUGUGUGUGUGUAUAACAAAAGCAGCUGUAAUCGCCAACAUUUUCGAAUAGAAAGCAUGCCAUGUUGUGCAAUGGCAAAAACAACAAAAUACAGAGCAGCCAAUUGCAUGGAAAACCCUGCAGAAAUUGUAUUUUAUGUGCCUAAGGGGUGAGCACGGGAGAAGAGAAAACCCAGGCUGCUUUUGUUUUACUUGUUCCUAAAGUAAAGUGUAAGACUCACCUCCCUAUGAGUAGUCUAUGAGAAUUAUUUAAAGGGAGCAGGGCCUUAUGAUCCUUCUCCCCUACCCCCAUCUUCUCCUCUCACCUUUUUUUUGGAGGGGGUGCUUUUUAAGGCUGCACCCACAGCAUAUGGAGGUUCCCAGGCUGGGGGGUCCAAUCAGAGCUCAACUGCUGACCUAUACCACAGCUCACCUCAACGCCAGAUCCUUAACCCACUGAGCGAGGCCAGGGAUUGAACCCGCAACCUCGUAGGUUCCUAGUCGGAUUCGUUUCUGCUGUGCCGAGACAGGAACACCUCCUCUCAUCUUUUAUCUGUAGAAACCCUUUAGCCAGAGAAUAACUUUAUUUGGUUUUUUGUUUUUUUUUUUUUUUGCUUUUAUUUUUAGGGCCACACCCGGGGCAUGUGGACGUUCCCAGGCCAGGGGUCAAAUCAGAGCUGCAGAUGCUGGCCUAUACCACAGCCACAGCAAUUAAGGAUCUGAGCUGUGUCUGUGAUCUACACCAUAGCUCAACUGAGCGAGGACAGGGAUCGAACCUGCAUCCUCAUGGAUACUAGUCAGGUUCUUAACCUGCUGAAUCACAGUGGGAAUUCCCAAAGAAUAAGUUUAAUCAGAGAAGUGAGAAAAUGCAGAAGCAAAGGAAAACAAAGACCAAAUAAUAAUACUUUAGUCAUUAAAUAAAGUCAAAGGCCUUUAGUUUCUCCUCAAGGGCUUAGAGAUCAUAUUUUGAACCAUAUCCUUUGAGCUGUUUUGUGGCUACUAAAACCCCCACCAGGUGAAAGAAGUUUGCAUGAUGACCAGACUGUAGCCAUAACAUAGGCUGCCAAGGGAGUACCUGUCGUGGCGCAGUGGUUGACGAAUCCGACUAGGAACCAUGAGGUUGCGGGUUCGGUCCCUGCCCUUGCUCAGUGGGUUAACGAUCCGGCGUUGCCGUGAGCUGUGGUGUAGGUUGCAGACGCGGCUCGGAUCCCACGUUGCUGUGGCUCUGGCGUAGGCUGGCGGCUACAGCUCCGAUUGGACCCCUAGCCUGGGAACCUCCAUAUGCCCCAAGAAAUAGCAAAAAGACAAAAAACAAACAAACAAAAAAAACAAAAAAA
rnacentral:lncRNA from 1 species